rnacentral:lncRNA from 1 species
AGGAUCUAUAGGGUCCAUAGUAUCUAUAGGGUCCAUAGGGUCUAUAUGGGUCUAUAGGAUCCAUAGGGUCCAUAGGGUCCAUAGGGUCUAUAGGGUCCACAGGGUCUAUAGGAUCUAUAGGAUCCAUACGGUCUAUAGGAUCUAUAGGAUCUAUAGGGGAUCUAUAGGAUCUAUAUGUGGGUCCCACUCACCGUGCCCGUCCCGCCGCCCCCCCCUCAUCGUUUCCAGCAGCUCCUUCACGGUGGGGGGGGGCGGCAAACGCCCACCGGGGGGGGGGGGGGGGGGUCACGUGGGUGGGGGAACCCUCCGUGCUGACGUCACGGGGAUCCCCCCCCGCCACCCACCCACGUGCUGUGACGUCACGGGGAUGCCCUGCGGGGAUUCCCACCCGGCUCUUAAAGGGCCAGCGCCCCAUUUCUGUCCGUCUUAAAGGGCCAGUGUCCCUCUCUCCCCCCCCCCUUAAACCACCAGCACCCCCCCAGUUCAUUUAAAGGGCCAGCUCUGAAUUCCCGGUCUCUUAAAGAACCAGUGCCCCAUUUCCAACUCUCUUAAAGGGCCAGCACCCUGCUCAAGCCACUCUUAAAGGGCCAGCCGCCCAUUCCCAUCUCUCUUAAAGGGCCAGCCGCCCGUUCCCAUCUCUCUUAAAGGGCCAGCCGCCCAUUCCCAACUCUCUUAAAGGGCCAGCCGCCCAUUCCCAACUCUCUUAAAGGGCCAGCUGCCCAUUCCCAUCUCUCUUAAAGGGCCAGCCGCCCACUCCCAACUCUCUUAAAGGGCCAGCCGCCCAUUCCCAACUCUCUUAAAGGGCCAGCCGCCCAUUCCCAACCCUUAAAGGGCCAGCCGCCCAUUCCCAUCUCUCUUAAAGGGCCAGCCGCCCAUUCCCAACCCUUAAAGGGCCAGCGAUCCCUUCCCUCCUCCCUUAAAGGGCCAGUGCCCCCUUCUCAUCUCUCUUAAAGGGCCAGCACCCCCCUUCCCGCUCUCUUAAAGGGCCCCUGCCCUCCUCCCCGCUCCCUUAAAGGGCCCGCGUACCUCUGUGGGGCCGCAUGUCUCCGUGUCGGGCUGCAAAUGGGGCCGGUGCGGCCCCGGGGGCCGUUAUAGGGUGACAUUGGGGCGGGGUUAUGGGGUGACAUUGGGGCGGGGUUAUGGGGUGCGGGGACAGCCCGGGUUCCCCCGGGUGACGUCACGGGUGGGCCGCCCCCGCGUGACAUCAAUGGAGCCACCGGGGGGAGCGGCCCCUUUAAGGGCUUCCCCACAUCCCACAAUGGGGGCGCGGCCCCUUUAAGGGAGGGACCCCGAGGGGUAAAGGGGGAAACUGGGGGGUCCCGGGGGGAUUUGGGGGCUGGGAAGAGAGAGAUAUGUGGACUCACCCCCAACAUCCAUCUCCAAUAUAAAUCGGGGACCCCACAAAAUCCACCCCAAUAUAAAAUGGGGACCC